AAAUAAUGUAGCCAUUUAAAGAGAAGAUUCAGACUAGAGGGAAAACACAGUCUCUAAUGCCUAUGGCACAGGAUUGGAGUCAGGAAUCUGGAUUCGAAUCUCAGCUCUGGCAUAAGCUUCCUGUGUGACUUUAGCCUGGUCAAAUGAGGCAUUCAGCACAUGAGUAUCUAGGAACCUUCAGGCCACCUGCUGCUUUUCCAUCAGCGUUACAGAAC